GCCAAAACCGGUUAAAAACUUCUAGUUCUUUUCACAGCUUUCUCAAUUUGAUAAUCCAGAUAACUUAAAUUUCGAGUGAGUACGCCAGAGGCUGAAGAAAAGGCGGCUGGGUCGCUCAGCACUUCCCCAAGAUCUUGGGGAAUAUCAACCAUCUGAAACAGGUUGCUUGCUUGUGCGUUGAAACUUGAUUAACUGUAUUGCAGCAAGGAAGAGCUGUACCUUUCUCUUACUGAGCGGAGUUCAGUUAAUACAAGAGGCCUAGCCUGGCGCUGCACAACUGAAACAAGUGCAGUUUGUAUAACACCUUUAUUGAAGUAAAACAUCUCAAGGCAUUUAACAAGACUAUCAUCAAAGAAAACAAUAAGCUGCUCAAGGGAGUUAUUUGGCAAAGUAACCAAAUACUUGACCAAGUGUUCAUUGGAUAGUCACAUCUAGAGUAAUCAUUCCCUCAGUACUAGUAACCAAGGUUCAAAGCCCGGGCCUCUGUACCUCCCUUGCAACUGGAUCCUUGACUUCCUUAUCGGGAGACCACAGUAAGUGCGGAUCGGCAAUAACAUCUCCUCCUCGCUGACUAUCAACACAAGCCCACCCCAAGGAUGCAUUCUUAGCCCACUGCUCUACUCGCUCUACACUCAUGACUGUGUAGCUGAACGCAGCUCAAGCACCAUCUAUAAAUUUGUCGAUGACACUAUUGUUAUUGGUAGAAUCUCAGAUAGUGAUGAGGAGGCUUACAGGAGUGAGAUAGAUCGGCUGGUUGAGUAGUAGUGCAACAACAACCUUGCACUCAGCGCCAGCAAGAUCAAAGAAUUGAUUGUGGACUUCAGGAGGGGGAAGUCAGGAGAACACACAUUAGUCAUCAUUGAGGAGUCAGCGGUGGAAAGGGUGGGCGGCUUCAAGUUCCUGGGCAUCAACAUCUCAGAGGAUCAAUCCUGGGCCCAACACAUUGAUGCAGUCACGAAGAAGGCACAUCAGCAGCUCUACUUCGUUAGGAGUUUGAUGAGAUUUGGUACAUCACCAAAGACUCUUACAAAUUUCUAUAGUACAGUGGAGAACAUUCUGACUGAUUGCAUCACUGCCUGCUAUGGAGCCUCCAAUGCACAGGAUUGCAAGAGGCUGCAGAGGGCUGUGGACUCACCCAGCUCCAUCACAGGCACAACCUUCCCCACCAUCAAGGACAUCAUCAAGAGGUGGUGCCUCAAGAAAGUGGCAUCCAUCAGUAAGGACCCUCACCAUCCAGGCCACGCCCUCUUCUCAUUACUGCCAUCAGGGAGGAGGUACAGGAGCCUGAAGCCCCAAACUCAACGAUUCAGGAACAGUCCAUGAACCCGUGAACACUACCUCGUUAUUCCUUUUAUUUUGCACUAUUUGUUUAUUUUUGUAAUUUAUAGAUUUUUAUGUCUUUGCACUGUACUGCUGCUGCAUAACAAAUUUCACGUCAUAUGUCACUGAUAAUAAAUUUGAUUCUGAUCAUCAAAGUUAUGAGUGAGAGUUUCAGCAGCAAAUGAACUGAGAGAGGGGUAAAGUCAGAUGGUGUUACACAGGUGGAAAAAUAAGUUCUUGUUGCAGCUCAGUCAGUCAAUGGCAGGGUCCUCAAGGACUCCAACAUGCAGAAGUUGUCAGGUUUCAGUGCUCUUAAAGAAAAAGAGUGGGAAAUAAAGAAACAUGCCAAUACUAUUUCCAUGAGGC